rnacentral:rRNA from 1 species
UACGUAGGGUGCAAGCGUUAAUCGGAAUUACUGGGCGUAAAGCGUGCGCAGGCGGUUUUGUAAGUCUGACGUGAAAUCCCCGGGCUCAACCUGGGAAUUGCGUUGGAGACUGCAAGGCUGGAGUCUGGCAGAGGGGGGUAGAAUUCCACGUGUGAGCAGUGAAAUGCGUAGAGAUGUGGAGGAACACCGAUGGCGAAGGCAGCCCCCUGGGUCAAGACUGACGCUCAUGCACGAAAGCGUGGGGAGCAAACAGG